rnacentral:misc_RNA from 1 species
GAUGAAGAACGCAGCGAAAUGCGAUACUUGGUGUGAAUUGCAGAAUCCCGUGAACCAUCGAGUCUUUGAACGCAAGUUGCGCCCGAAGCCUCGGCUAAGGGCACGUCUGCCUGGGCGUCACGCAUCGCGUCUCCCCCAAACCGCCAAGGCGGAGGGGAAGGAAGAUGGCUUCCCGUGCCUCACCCGGGCGCGGUUGGCCUAAAUUUGGAGCCCGCGGCACUUAGCUCUCGCGGCGAUAGGUGGUGAACAAUGCCUUGGCCGUGCAAACAACCCGCUGCGAAGCUCUAUGUCACGUGCGCUCGUCGGACCCUUUGAAGUUGCCUUUGGUGACUUAAAACCUUUGCGACCCCAGGUCAGGCGGGGCUACCCGCUGAAUUUAAGCAUAUCAAUAAGCGGAGGA